AAUAAAUUUUUUAUGAUUUAUAAAAUUUAAUUUAAAUUUAUUUUACAUAUAAAUUUUAGUGUGUAUUUUUAAUUUAUUUUAAUAAUUAUUAAAAAUAAAUUUAAUAGUAAUUAAUAUUAAAAAUUUAAGAAAUUAAGAUUUAGUAAUAUUUAAUUAUUAUUAACAAAUUUUGUGCCAGCAGUUGCGGUUAUACAAAAAAUAAUUUAAAUUUUAUUAGUAAAUAAUAAAUAUUAAUAUUUUAAAAUUAAAUAAUAAAUUAUUAGGUGAAAUUUUAAUUUAUUUAAAAUUUUAUUAAAUAAUUAUGAUUUAUAAAAUUUUAUAAAAAACUAGAAUUAGAUACUCUAUUAUAAAAAAUUAAAUAAAAAUACUAAAAUAGUAUAUAAUUAUUUAUAGAAACUUAAAUAAUUUGGCGGUAUUUUAGUUCAUUUAGAGGAAUCUGUUUAAUAAUUGAUAAUCCACGAAUAAAUUUACUUAAUUUGUAUAUUUUGUAUAUCGUUGUUGAAAAAAUAUUUUUUAAUAAAAAUAAUAUUUUAAAAUUUUAAAAAUAAAUUAAUUCAGAUCAAGAUGCAGAUUAUAAUUAAGAAUAUAAUGGAUUACAAUAAGAAAUGAAUAAAUGAAUAAUAUUUUUUAAUAAAUAUUUGAAGGUGGAUUUAAAUGUAAUUUUAUUUAGUUUAUUAAAAUGAUUAAAAAUUGAAAUAUGUACAUAUUGCCCGUCGCUUUCAUAGAUAAAUUGGAAUAAGUCGUAACAUAGUAGAGGUACUGGAAAGUGUUUCUAGAAAGAU
rnacentral:ncRNA from 1 species